UAUGUCGAACAAAGUCGAUUCUAAUAAGAGACAAUCCUAUUCUCUUCUAGAUAUAUCAAAACUCACCAGAAAUAUAUACUCCUCUUGGUUUGACCAAAGAGUUUCAAUACUCUUUCAGUUUAUUUCUUUAUCUUAUUAUGAAAUAUUUAAAUAUUUUAAAUAAUUCAAAUUUAUGGCAAACAUAUUCAUAGAUCCAAUACAUCAGUAUGUAUCAAAUUCAGAAUAUCAUUGGCUCGUUCAUCUUUUCCAACAAAAAGUGACUUGAUCAUCUUACUAAGG
rnacentral:lncRNA from 1 species